UACGGAGGGUGCGAGCGUUGUUCGGAAUCACUGGGCGUAAAGGGCGUGUAGGCGGUCCGCUAAGUCUGAUGUGAAAGCCCGGGGCUCACCCCCGGAAGUGCAUUGGAAACUGGCGGACUCGAGUCCCGGAGAGGAGAGUGGAAUUCCUGGUGUAGCGGUGAAAUGCGUAGAUAUCAGGAGGAACACCGAUGGCGAAGGCAGGUCUCUGGGCAUUAACUGACGCUGAGGAGCGAAAGCAUGGGGAGCGAACAGG
rnacentral:rRNA from 1 species